rnacentral:rRNA from 1 species
GACGAACGCUGGCGGCGUGCCUAAUACAUGCAAGUAGAACGCACAGUUUAUACCGUAGCUUGCUACACCAUAGACUGUGAGUUGCGAACGGGUGAGUAACGCGUAGGUAACCUGCCUGAUAGCGGGGGAUAACUAUUGGAAACGAUAGCUAAUACCGCAUAAUAUUAAUUAUUGCAUGAUAAUUAAUUGAAAGGUGCAAUUGCACCACUACCAGAUGGACCUGCGUUGUAUUAGCUAGUAGGUGAGGUAACGGCUCACCUAGGCGACGAUACAUAGCCGACCUGAGAGGGUGAUCGGCCACACUGGGACUGAGACACGGCCCAGACUCCUACGGGAGGCAGCAGUAGGGAAUCUUCGGCAAUGGACGAAAGUCUGACCGAGCAACGCCGCGUGAGUGAAGAAGGUUUUCGGAUCGUAAAGCUCUGUUGUAAGAGAAGAACGGGUGUGAGAGUGGAAAGUUCACACUGUGACGGUAUCUUACCAGAAAGGGACGGCUAACUACGUG